AAUUCGUUUCUCUGGAGCCAUCCAUCCUUCACCAAUAGCAGAUUCUCUGGCCCAGAUUCAUUAGAGUAUUUGAAUCUAGGGUUGCGGUAAAGUAAGGGGAUGUUUACUUUGGAGACAAAGGUGGGCUGAUCUACGUGCAUUUGCCAACUCUGGUAGAGACCAAUGUUGGUCAGAUUGCAAACGGAACCUGCUUUUGAAUUGUUUCAUGGGCAAAGACGUUCUUGUGCUGGCCACACCUACCUAUGAGUUUGGCAGGAGUUUAGCUUGCAUGGAAGCCUUGGAUGACUCUUUCUGUCUUCUCUACUUAUCAUUUUCUCACCAAUUCCACCUUUAAGAUUUGAAAGCACAUGUUAGUGCAAUUCAUUUGAUAAUUGAGGCUCUCCAGAUGAUGCAUUUAUUUGGUGUUGAGAACAGAGAUACUUUAACUCACAAUGCCACAGGGUGUGAAAUGGCAAGAGUGUGGGAACAGAGAUAUUUUAACUCAAUGCCACGG